AAGGAAUGAUGCUAAAGCUGAAACUCCAGUACUUUGGCCAUCUCAUGUGAAGAGUUGACUCAUUGGAAAAGACUCUGAUGCUGGGAGGGAUUGAGGGCAGGAGGAGAAGGGGACAACAGAGGAUGAGAUGGUGGGAUGGCAUCACUGACUCGAUAGAUGUGAGUCUGAGUGAACUCCGGGAGUUGGUGAUGGACAGGGAGGCCUGGCAUGCUGGAAUUCAUGGGGUCGCAAAGAGUAGGACACGACUGAGCGACUGAACUGAACUGAAAUGAAUCAGCAUUUAAUCAUUUCACCGUUCUUCAAUAAAACUGCUAUGGACUAAAUGUUUGUAUUCUGUUAUACGCUGAAGCCUAAUCCCCUAGGCCCACUCCAGUAUUCUUGCCUGGAGAAUCCCCAUGGACAGAGGAGCCUGGCAGGCUACAGUCCAUGGGGGCGCAAAGAGUCAGACACAAUUGAGCAACGAAACACAGCACAGCACAAUCCCUUAGGAUAUGAGGGUAGAGGCCACAUGGAUGGGAUUAGUGAUUUCAUAAGAAGAGAGGACACAAAAAAAAAGAAAAAGAAGAAGAAGAAGAGAGGACACACGCACAGGUGACAGGAUAGAGCAAUUGAGGAGCCUGGAAAAGUCACUGAAACCUCUGAGCAACUGAGUCGAGUUGAGUUGAGUCUUGAAGGUUGAAUAAAACUUACUAGACAAGAAAAAUAGAAAAAUCAUUCCACAGAAAAAUAAGCACAUGCAAGGGCAUAGAGUCGUGGGAUGGCCUGGAAGUCUGAGGAACUGUGAGAAGUCCAGGCCAUCUGAAGCUUACAACACACCACAGUUCUUCAAAGAGAGGUCGUAUGUGACUCUUCCUUUUAUGGCAACUGCGGCAGAGGUUCCAGGGCAUGUUGAUGGCUCCUUUCACCUCCUCUACGCAGCUGGAAUGGGCUGCAGAAGAGCAACAGCAUGCUUCAGGGUUAUCCCCUCCAAGUCCACAUGCCUCUCCACCUCUACUGAAUUCUUUUCCUUCCUGCUGUACAUCCUACUCAUAUUCAAUAACUCCUGAUAGAAAAACUGAUGUCGGUAGUGUGUAUAUAAACUGAAUUUCCCAGCUUUGCUUGGAACAUGAUGCUCACUAGAGAAAUGGAAAAUCAAUUUAAAACAAUAAAUAGGGAAAACAGAAAUGGUAAACAAAGCGUGGAAGGGUGCGGCUUGUUCUGACGAGUGACUAAGCAUGCAGCUUCCUGUUGUUGUUGUUCAGUCACUAAGUCCUGUCCAACUCUGCGACCUCAUGGACUGCAGUGUGCUGGGCUCCUCUAUCCUCCACUUUCUCCUGGAGUUUGCUUAGAUUCAUGCUCAUUGAGUGAUGCUUUCUAACCAUCUCUUCCUCUGCUGCCCCCUUCUCCUUGUGCCUUCAGGGUCUUUUCCAAUCAGUCAGCUCUUCACAUCAGGUAGCCAAAGUAUUGGAGUUUCAGCAACAGUCCUUCCAAUGAAUAUUCAGGAUUGAUUUCCUUUAGGAUUGGCUGGUUUGAUCUCCUUGCAGUCCAACGUACUCUCAAGAGUCUUCUCCAACACCACCUUUAAAAGCAUGCCUUCUUUAUGGUCCAGCUCACACAAUCAUACAUGACUACUGGAAAAACUAUAACUUUGACAAUUAAAAACUUUUGUUAGCAAAAUGAUGUCUCUGCUUUUUAAUACACUGCCUAGGUUUGUCAUAGCUUUCCUUCCAAGGAGCAAGUGUCUUUUAAUUUCAUGGCUGCAGUCACCAUCUACAGUGAUUUUGGAGCCCCCCAAAAGAAAAGAAAAUCUGUCACUGCCUCCAUUUUUUCCUCUUCUAUUUGCCAUGAAGUGAUAGGACCUGAUGCCAUGAUCUUAGGUUUUUUAAAUGUUGAGUUCAAGCCAACUUUUUCACUCUCCUCUUUCACCUUCAUUAAGAAGAACAGCUUCCCAAGAGUGCUUUAAGGAAUGACUUUUAAAAGCCGUUCUUUCCUAUCAGCUCCCAAGUGGAAAGCAUGCCAAUUUGUUAGAACAAAAGGCUGAUAAUUAGGUAAAUCACAAAUAUAUGUGAUUUAUUUUUAAAGUGCAAAUGGAAUUACGUUACUCUACUAAUCAUACAUCUCUGAAAUGGGCAUCUUCUGCUAAAUUUUGAAAUGAGCAACUUAAACUCAUUCAUACCCAGGCAGAUCCCUUAUCUAUAGAUUAGACCCAUAUGCUUGUGUAAAAUAAUGACUUUCUUUCAUUAGCUGUCAUUUAAAUUUAUUGUAGGAUAACAUCCGUUACGAUUUUUAAAUAUUUAACGUGCUUUAGGUACUCAUGAAACCAAUAAGUUUGCUGUUGCUCUGUGUCUCUUUCCAAGUUAAAUGUACAUUCCUGGAGAACAAACCACAUUUUACGCUACCAUUGCCUUAUAGUUCUCAACCCAGUGCUAUGCACUUAAUGUUUCAUAAAUACUAGAUUGACUGAGAAGCUGACACAAGUUGCCACGAGAGGAUAAACCUCAGAUAUCAUAUGGGUAGAAAUUCAUACUCAGUGGAAAGAGCAAGGGGAACCCUGAAAUGAACUCCUUGCUCAGGAACAUAUUAAUAACAUCACCUUGAGUGAGCUACCUGACUUUUCUGAGCUUCAGUUUCUUUAACAAAAUGAAGAUAAUAAUAAAUUAGUUGGGAUUCUUGCAAAGAUCAGAGGUAAAUGAUUUAAUAUGUCUUGCCUGGGACUGCCUGCACAGCCCUGAGUUCAUGAUGUUAUUAUUCCCGCUUCAAAGAUGAGAAGAUUGAGGGGUCAGUGUUGAAGUAACUCUCUAACCAUCACACCACCAUUAGGGUCUGGUUUCAAACCCAGUUUUGUUUGACUUUGUGUGCAGUACUUAGAGAUUCCCUAUAUUGCUCUUGCACUUAAAUAAAUAUGAGAGGGUUUAAAAUGAAGGCAAGGUAACAAACUAGAAUAUAAUUUUUCAAGUUUUUUGACCAUGACCCUCAGUAUUGCACUGCAAACCCUGAAGACACACAAGAGUUGGGCUUCCCCGGUGGCACUAGUGUAAAGAACCUGAGUGCCAGUGCAGGAAACAUAAGAAACACAGUUCAGUCCCUGGGUCAGGAAGAUCCCCUGGCAGAGGGCAUGGCAACCCACUCCAGUAUUCUUGCCUGGAGAAUCCCAUGGACAGAGGAGCCUGGCAGGCUACAGUCCGUGGGGUCGCAAAAGUUGGAUAUGACUAAAGCGCCCUAGCCACGUACCCAACAGUUGAACUGCGUUGCAUGUGCUGCACUCAAAUACUUUCCACUCUAUUUCAUGUUUUGAAAAUAUUCUUGUUAUAGUGAGUGGAGCAGCUUGCUGGGGAGGUGUCAUGGGGGUGUUCUUGACAUGAGACCUCAGGUACAAGCCAGCUGGCAGCAAGGACCCCUCCCACUGCAAAAGGGAAGCCCUCUCCUUCCUCUCCAUGGCCCGAGCUCCUCAUCUGGUCAUGGUCCUCGCCCUAGUGGUCUUGCUGGGCCAUGGAGUUCUGAGCACUGUCCCCCACAUGCCCACAGGCCUGGACUGGCCCUGCUGUUGUGACCGGCAGGAUAGGUAGAUCUGGAGACUAUGGGAUGACCCCUGUUGCGAGGAGUCAGUACCUUUCCCGGGGUUGCUUGCUUGCCUGGCUUUACACAGGACAGGGAGAAACCGAGGCUAGUGGAAGAGGGUUUCCUCCAAAGCCACAAGGGAGGUAUGGAGAGGCUUAAAACAGCUCCUAUACGAAUUCAGAGGUUGCUUCAGGAAAGGGGAAAGUCUGAGGGAGAUGUGAUUACUGGACUGGUGAACAAUGGGGAAAAUUUCACAGUAAGUGGGAGAAAUUCAGUUCCUGACCAGACCUUGGAACUAGAAAAUUAAAUUGUACUGCCCAAUCUGAAGCAAGAGUACCUGACUGCUAUUUUCAAAUCCCAGAGAGUUGUUAGAGCUAAUAUUUAGAAGGGAAUGAAGGAUUUAUUCUAAGGAGCUCAUCCUUUUGGGGGCAGGAAGCAUGAUGAAUAUGGAUGUGGGGAAUAAUAUUGCAGAGAAACAAAAUGUCUUUCUCACUCAUGACGCAUAGGUACAUCACAUUAAAACUGAAUUGCCACGUGUUUGAUGGUGCUAUCCAUUAAGUGCUAUUCAUAGAAAGCAUUUCUCUACUUGGCUUAAGUGUACGGGGAUAGGGGAUUGGCUUUCUCUCUUAGCCAUGUCUUUGUGCUCAUUCAAAAUAUUUCGAGUACUUUGACCUUUACAAAAAGGAAAGGUUGUCAGUAAAUAUCCCUGCGUUGUUACUAAUUUUGAUCCUGCUAAUUUCUGGCUGGUAGACAGAAAUAAUACUGAGAUUUUCCAAGAAGCUGCUUGUUAUGACCCACUAAAUUGAUCUGAUGCCUCAUCAUGAACUACACCUUGAGAAAGAGGAGACUGUUAUAUUCAUUUAUGUAA
rnacentral:lncRNA from 1 species